AACGAACGCUGGCGGCAGGCCUAACACAUGCAAGUCGAACGGGCGUAGCAAUACGUCAGUGGCGGACGGGUGAGUAACACGUGGGAAUAUGCCUUUCGGUUCGGAACAACUCGGGGAAACCCGUGCUAAUUCCGGAUACGCCCUUACGGGGAAAGGUUUAUCGCCGAAAGAUUAGCCCGCGUUGGAUUAGCUAGUUGGUGAGGUAACGGCCCACCAAGGCAACGAUCCAUAGCUGGUUUGAGAGAACGACCAGCCACACUGGGACUGAGACACGGCCCAGACUCCUACGGGAGGCAG
rnacentral:rRNA from 1 species